UGGUGACAUACAGGGCUCACAAACUGACAAGGUCUCUAUCUCCUGGGCCCUAAAGGCAACAGAAAGCCCUAUGGCAAAGCUUACUCAGCCAACGCUAGCACUCCUCUCUGCACAUAGAUCUGGGUGGUUACAAGGUGCAAUACCUAGAAAGCUGACUAAUGAGAGAGGAAGUAAGAAGGAUCCCUGGGGCCUACGGAGCUGACAGAGGGCAUAAGCAACCACAGAUGAUGCAACGCCAUCACAGUGAAAAAUCUGUUCAAUAAACCAAGCCCAGUGUUG